CAGUACUCAAUUAUAUCCGUAUCUACUGGAUGUUAUCACUAUUGCUCCCACAGGAAAUACUUGAUAGGAUUGAUAGAAAUGAAGAAACUUUAUAUUGAGGGGGACAAAACCUGUCAUGAUAUUCACUGCCUCACCAACUAGGAACAGGUAUGUAGACCAAAGAAUUUUGGACUAGGAGUAUUGAACUUAAAACUGUUCAACAAAAGCCUCCUUACUAAGUAUUGGUGG
rnacentral:lncRNA from 1 species